CAACUACUCCCUCUGUCCCAAAUUUCUUGUCUUAGUUUUGUCUAGAUACGGAUGUAUCUAAUACUAAAAUGUGACUUGAUACAUCCGUAUCUAGACAAAUCUAAGACAAGAAUUUUGGGAUGGAGGGAGUACUUU
rnacentral:pre_miRNA from 1 species